rnacentral:rRNA from 1 species
GACGAACGCUGGCGGCGUGCUUAACACAUGCAAGUCGAACGAUGAACUUGGAGCUUGCUCUGGGGGAUUAGUGGCGAACGGGUGAGUAACACGUGAGUAACCUGCCCUGGACUCUGGGAUAACUUCGAGAAAUCGGAGCUAAUACCGGAUAGGACCUUGCACAGCAUGGUGUGGGGUGGAAAGUUUUUCGGUUUGGGAGGGACUCGCGGCGUAUCAGCUUGUUGGUGAGGUAAUGGCUCACCAAGGCGUCGACGGGUAGCCGGCCUGAGAGGGUGACCGGCCACACUGGGACUGAGACACGGCCCAGACUCCUACGGGAGGCAGCAGUGGGGAAUAUUGCACAAUGGGCGCAAGCCUGAUGCAGCAACGCCGCGUGCGGGAUGACGGCCUUCGGGUUGUAAACCGCUUUUAGUAAGGAAGAAGCCGCAAGGUGACGGUACUUGCAGAAAAAGGACCGGCUAACUACGUGCCAGCAGCCGCGGUAACAC